rnacentral:snRNA from 1 species
AGGAUUCGAUUCCUUCUC